rnacentral:rRNA from 1 species
CCUCCUUUUCUCCUCCUUUUUGUCUCUUGCCCCAUGGGGGCACCCCUGCUGCAGCGACGCCGCGUGUGGGAAGACGGUCCUCUGGAUUGUAAACCACUGUCCCCAGGGACGAAGAUGACGGUACCUGGGGAGGAAGCUCCGGCUAACUACGUGCCAGCAGCCGCGGUAAUACGUAGGGAGCAAGCGUUGUCCGGAAUUACUGGGUGUAAAGGGAGCGUAGUCGGGAUGGCAAGUUGGGUGUUAAAUCUACCGGCUCAACUGGUAGUCGCACUCAAAACUGCUAUUCUUGAGUGAAGUAGAGGCAGGCGGAAUUCCUAGUGUAGCGGUGAAAUGCGUAGAUAUUAGGAGGAACACCAGUGGCGAAGGCGGCCUGCUGGGCUUUUACUGACGCUGAGGCUCGAAAGUGUGGGGAGCAAACAGGAUUAGAUACCCGAGUAGUC